UCCUACGGGGGGCAGCAGUGAGGAAUAUUGGUCAAUGGUCGGGAGACUGAACCAGCCAAGCCGCGUGAGGGAUGAAGGUACAGAGUAUCGUAAACCUCUUUUGUCAGGGAACAAAGGCGGGGACGCGUCCCCGGAUGAGUGUACCUGAAGAAAAAGCAUCGGCUAACUCCGUGCCAGCAGCCGCGGUAAUACGGAGGAUGCGAGCGUUAUCCGGAUUUAUUGGGUUUAAAGGGUGCGCAGGCGGUCUGUUAAAUUAGCGGUCAAAGCCCGGGGCUUAACCCCGGCCCGCCGUUGAAACUGGACGG
rnacentral:rRNA from 1 species